GAUGAACGCUGGCGGCGUGCCUAAUACAUGCAAGUCGAGCGAACAGAUAAGGAGCUUGCUCCUUUGACGUUAGCGGCGGACGGGUGAGUAACACGUGGGUAACCUACCUAUAAGACUGGGAUAACUUCGGGAAACCGGAGCUAAUACCGGAUAACAUUUGGAACCGCAUGGUUCUAAAGUGAAAGAUGGUUUUGCUAUCACUUAUAGAUGGACCCGCGCCGUAUUAGCUAGUUGGUAAGGUAACGGCUUACCAAGGUGACGAUACGUAGCCGACCUGAGAGGGUGAUCGGCCACACUGGAACUGAGACACGGUCCAGACUCCUACGGGAGGCAGCAGUAGGGAAUCUUCCGCAAUGGGCGAAAGCCUGACGGAGCAACGCCGCGUGAGUGAUGAAGGGUUUCGGCUCGUAAAACUCUGUUAUUAGGGAAGAACAAACGUGUAAGUAACUGUGCACGUCUUGACGGUACCUAAUCAGAAAGCCACGGCUAACUACGUG
rnacentral:rRNA from 1 species